GCUCACCUAUUCGUGAGCUGCAAAUUCAAACAUGGGAAAGUGGUAAUGGGUUCUAGUGGCGGGCUGUGGACUCUGCAACUAAAUUCCUAGGGUUGCCAACUUGUAUUGUAGGUUUACAGCAUUCACAGCAUUGUAAUCUGAUUGUUCGGUCCCAGGGCCGAAUGUUCUGAUUAAUCUGGUAUUGCCCAGCCGUUAGUGGGCAUAUCAGGUUAAGAUUCGCUUGUUUGGCGACCUCUAAUAGUGUAUGGCCACCUUUAGUCAGCGACUCUCUCUGGACAUGAGUAACUUCAGUGAGUGCUUCAGAACAGACCCCUGCAGCUUUCACUGUGAGCAGAAAAACCUCUGUACCUAUGUGUCUCUCAAAAGCUCACUGACAGCUGCUAACACUGGGGGGGGGGUACAGCAGGGGCAGGGCCCUGAGACAGUAAUCCCAGUGAGCCCCGGACCCCCAGCCGACCCUGACAACAUAUGUAAGGGCUAGACUGGAGGCGCAUGAGUUUGGUGCUAGUUUGGAUAGAAAAGUUGUAUGGAACAAUUAUAUAAAAAUCUUCUUUUAUUGAAUCUUCUUUAAAAACACACAAAAAUACGGAUGUGUGUUAUAUACUUAUACUUAUGUAUAAGUAUAUAAAUAAAUAUAUAUAUAUAUAUAUAUAUAUAUAUGUACACAACAUUGAUAAGUUGUAUAUAAUGUAAAUAAACAAAUAAAUGAAGUUGCCUAUCAAAAAUAAGUAGCUCCAAAGCACACAAAUAAAGAAACCAUAUUAAGUAAAAAAAACAAAAUAAAGAAAAAAACAAAUAAAGAAUAAUAUACUUAUACAUAUUUUUCCUAGUUUAUAUCGUUAUAUUAUAACAUAUUAUAAUGCAUUAUAUCAUAUUGAUUAAAUAUGUUUUUGAAACCUCAUACUGGGAUGUAUGUUAAUGUGAUUAUGUUUUUAAUCAGAUUGAUUGGUAUUACCAGGUGUUUUUAAUUAAUGGAUUAAGCAAUUUGUAUAAAUAUGUUGCCAGCAGGGGGUGCUUUUGGCUUCUGAUGAAGUGACCGCUGUAGUCACGAAAGGCGUUGAGCCAUGUACUCCCCUGCUCUGCUCAUCCGGAUUUUUGUGUGUUUUUAAAGAAGAUUCAAUAAAAGAAGAUUUUUAUACAAUUGUUCCAUACAACUUUUCUAUCCAAACUAGCACCAAACUCAUGCGCCUCCAGUCUAGUACUUGCCUUACCCAAGUGACCACAGUGGAUUGUUUGUAUGUUCUGGAUAGAGCUAUCACCCAGCCCCACAAGUGGAUCUUGUUUGCAUGCACUCCCAAACAUAUGUAAGGGCACAGCCUGCCACUAGACAUUUAAAGUCAAAUGUGGUAAUAACUAAGCUGGUAUGCAAGAAUAUGAUAGAAAAAAUAUUAUUUCAGAUGCUGGAGCAUACAACUACCAGCAUCCUCCCUGCUAGUGCAGGAAUAUGUGGAAGUGCCACAACAGGAUCAAACCUUUUGUUUUAUAUGUGACAUUUAGUACUAAAGUUACACUUCCUACGCUAAAUGCAGAACCCCCCGUACCCCCUCCGUUGGGGCCCCCGUUACUACCUCAGAGAUCUCUGUGUGUCUCUAGCCAUUGCUUAACUACAAAGCUGUCCCCGUGAUAACUAGUAGCUGAGCUGUAGUUCAGUUACAGACAGAGAUCUAAGCAGGGCCGUCAUUAAAUGGGAACAGGGCGGGGUCCAGUCAGGGGUCCCAGGAGAUCUGAUGGGGCCCCUGGUUCUAAAGCUGCUUAUGUUUAUAAUUUAUUAGUGUUGUAUAGUUUAUUAGUGUUGUUUCAGAAUGUGCAAGUAUGUGCAUGUAUGCGAUUGCCUGUCAGUUACUGGGAUAUCAUGUCUUAUAUCGGUGACAUCACUCCCAGCUCAGCUCUGAUUGGCUGAAAGCUGCAAGGAAGGUGAUCUAAUGGCUCAGCUACAAAUGACCGUUAUUUCAUUUCUGGAUUCAGAGGUAAGUGCAGCAGAUCCAUACUUGGGGAACAGGGGGCAUAUUUAGAUGAUACAAAGGGCAAUUUUGGGUGUUUUGUCACCCAUCAUUUAUAGUAGCUUGGGUAGUGGGGGCAUCGCUUCUAAAAUUGCCCCACUGCCUACCAAUCUAAUUGCUUGGGGAGCUGCUUGUCAUGAAACUGUUCCAAAUGCCAUCUGUAUGACAAGCAGGAAUGGGGGGGUUAAUUUAAGGCAACUUGCCGUUAUAUUCCUGCAAUUGUACAUGGGAACUGCAGCCUGUUGAGAGGUACUGAACAUAUAUUCAAAUAAACUCAGUAUUAAUUGGUUACAGAUACCUAGAUAUUACACUUAUACAGGGUAUCACCUGAAAAUGGGUUUCUGAUGGCAGCCCUGACACAUAUGGGUGUCAAAGUGCCUAAAAUCUCCCCAUAUGCCAUCUCUAAUGGGAGUAGGACCAUAAAAACUUAUAGUUCUAAGGCAAUGGGUGUUUGGUUUACUUGUUGCAUUUGAAACAUUAGACAAUUUCCUCUGCUGUAAAUGCCAACGGUCAUUUGCCAACUGUCAUUUUACAACGGUCGCACUCAUCCUGGGGUGGGUGACAGUUCAGAGAGGCUUAAGUAGAAAGACAAGUAGCACAAAUCAGAAUAAUAAAUGUCUGCCCUUAGGAUUCCUGGCAUUAAGGGUGCAGGGGCACUGAUCAGAACACAGCUGGUUAUGGGAAGCAGGCACACUAGGUACAUGCAGGGGGAAAGGGAAACCAAUAGGAAUACGGAGAUGACCCCUGUAUUAAUAUAACCAAGGAUUCAUAGAGCAUGAUGGGAUCUGUAGUGCUGUUACAAGCCCGCCCUGAUCAUGACAUGAUAAGCAAUACAAAUGCUACAUACCUCUUAUGGUCAACCCUUAUAGUGCAUCAUGGGAGAUGAUGAAGGCCCUUUCCACAUGCCAGUGAUAAAAGCCUACAUCCUGAUUGCCCAACAUUUUUGUUAGCUAAAUAGCACACACAACAUCAGUCAGGCUCCCUCACUUCCAAUUACAGCCUUAUAGUGAGUGCAUUAUGGGAUCUGUAGUUUAUGCAUUGGCAUACUAUUUUUAAUCACAGUGUAGAAGGAUAUAGAGCUGACUGCCAUUUACAGCAUCUGGGGCUCUAGAAGUGGCAGGGUCCACAGCCCCCAUUAUGCUCCUGCUCAUAAUCUCUUUAUUAUUUCUCCUCAAAAAGUGAAAUAUUCCGAGCGAUUUGCAAGAGACCGAUUUGAGAGAGAAAGCGAUUGUGAGAGAGACAGCAAAAGAAGAAGAGAGAGAGAAGCAAAGAGAAGAGAGAAGACAAAGAAGACCUUGAGUGACCCCCUGCCAGAGAUAACAUCUUCUCAUUUGGGAUCCUCUGGACAAAGGGGUGUCGGAGAUGGGCAUGUGUUCAAGCAAGGACCGCCUUUACAUAAAAGGCUAUCGCCAGGGCUCACAGUGGAUCUACAGGAAGGAGGAGAGGAUCUGUAAGAUCACUGAUUUGGAAAGCAUGAGGAAGGACAUCAUUGGCGAAAUAAAAUGGACAAGCUAUGAUUAUUGUAUAGCUAGAGACAGCCUGGAAUUAACGAGGUGGUGGAAAAUCAGAUUUAUGGCUGAGGUCCUGCAGGACAAGAGGAAGGCCAAAGCCCAACUGAAAUCCCUCUACAAACAACUAGAGGAGAUAAACUGGGCAAUUUUCAGGAAGUACAUGGAUACAUAUCCAGAGAGCCCACCAGCCUCCAGCACCAUCGCAUUUUACACGGUACCACGUAUCGAUGCACCUCUGUGUAGGUGAUCUUCAUGACACAGAGGUGAGUGAGCCAUUCUCCAUUCCACCAGCGGUGCCUCCACUCCAAUACACCAUGAUUCCACCAGUGGUGCUCCCCCCUUACACCUAAAAUAUGGUUACUUAGACAGGAGCACCCUUAGGCCACUUGGUAGACCCUGCAUUCCUUUUCAGUCCAUCCCUCAAACUGCAGAAGCCGGGUCUGCAGGCUGCCUGGGGUCCAAUAGAAUGACGAGGAAUGCAGGGUUCACUUUUUAGCUUAAUGGUGCUCAUGUAUAUGCAGCCAUAGUCCCUUCUAUUUUAGUUCCCUGCACCACAAUUCCAACCACAGUGUCCCUUAUUUCCCUAAUUAUUUGUACUGUAAUUCCACCAGCGGUGCCACACUUACACCUAAAAUAUCGUUCCAUAGACAGGAACACACUCAAGCCACUCGGUAGAUCCUGCAUUCCUUUUCACGCCAUCCCUCAGACUGCAGAAGCCGGGUCUGCAGGCUGCCUGGGGUCCAGUGGAAUGGAGAGGAAUGCAGUGUUCACCUGGCAGCUUAAAGGCGCUCCCAUGUAUAUGUAGCCAUAUUCCCCUCUGUUUCAAUUCCCUCCACCAUAAUUUCACCAGUGCUGCCCCCCUUACACCUAAAAUAUGGUUUCAUAGACAAGAGCACCCUUAAACCACUCAGUAGACCCUGCAUUCCUUUCCAUUCUAUCCCUCAAGACUGCUGAAGCUGGGUUCUGCAGGCUGCCUGGGGUCCAAUGGAAUGGAGAGGAAUGCAGUGUUCAUCUUGUAGGUAAAAGGUGCUUGUGUGUAUGCUGCCAUAUUACCUUCUAUUUCCAUUCCCUUAUCGCAAUUCCAACCACAGUGUCUCUUCUUUCCACCUAAAUAUGGUUCCAUAGACAGGAGCACCUUUAAGCCACUCAGUGAACCCUGCAUUCCUGUCCACUCAUCCCUCAGACUGCAGAAGCCGGGUCUACAGGCUGCCUGGGGUCCAAUAGAAUGGAAUGUAGUGUUCACCUUGUAGCUUAAAGGCGCUUAUGUGCAUGCUGCCAUAUUCCCUUCUGUUUCCCUCACCCUGCUUCCCUUGAUUUAAUUUGGCACAUUUAUCCUGGGAGCAAAUCCGAUCGCUGUUAAGGGGUCAGGAAGGAAUUUUCCCCUCUAGUAGCAGAUUGUCCCAAUCUUGCUAGAGGUUUUUUGCCUUCCUCUGGAUAAAAUAGUGCAGUUUAUCUAAUUAUUAUCAAUAAAACUGUGACUUACACAGA